rnacentral:rRNA from 1 species
AUUGAACGCUGGCGGCAUGCCUUACACAUGCAAGUCGAACGGCAGCACGGGAGCAAUCCUGGUGGCGAGUGGCGAACGGGUGAGUAAAGUAUCGGAACGUGCCCAGUCGUGGGGGAUAACGUAGCGAAAGUUACGCUAAUACCGCAUACGAUCUAUGGAUGAAAGCGGGGGAUCGCAAGACCUCGCGCGAUCGGAGCGGCCGAUAUCAGAUUAGGUAGUUGGUGGGGUAAAGGCUCACCAAGCCGACGAUCUGUAGCUGGUCUGAGAGGACGACCAGCCACACUGGGACUGAGACACGGCCCAGACUCCUACGGGAGGCAGCAGUGGGGAAUUUUGGACAAUGGGCGAAAGCCUGAUCCAGCCAUGCCACGUGCAGGAUGAAGGCCUUCGGGUUGUAAACUGCUUUUGUACGGAACGAAAAGGUUUGGCCUAAUAAGCUGAGCUCAUGACGGUACCGUAAGAAUAAGCACCGGCUAACUACGUGCCAGCCGCCGCAGUAA